rnacentral:rRNA from 1 species
CCCUUAGAUGUUCUGGGCUGCAUGCGCGCUACACUGAAGCUAUCAACACGUUUUCCCUCCCUGAGAAGGGCGGGUAACCUUUUGAAUCAGCUUCGUGGUAGGGAUCGGGGCUUGCAAUUGUUCCCCGUGAACCAGGAAUUCCUAGUAGACGCGAGUCAUAAGCUCGCAUCGAUUAAGUCCCUGCCCUUUGUACACACCGCCCGUCGCUACUACCGAUUGAACGUUUUAGUGAGGCAUUUGGACCGACGCAUCUCAGUUUAACCGCUGGUUUGUGUUGGAAGGACUUCCAAACUUGAGCGUUUAGAGGAAGUAAAAGUCGUAACA